rnacentral:rRNA from 1 species
UACGGAGGGUGCGAGCGUUGUCCGGAAUCACUGGGCGUAAAGCGCACGUAGGCGGACUCUUAAGUCAGGGGUGAAAUCCUGGAGCUCAACUCCAGAACUGCCUUUGAUACUGGGAGUCUUGAGUUCGGGAGAGGUGAGUGGAACUGCGAGUGUAGAGGUGAAAUUCGUAGAUAUUCGCAAGAACACCAGUGGCGAAGGCGGCUCACUGGCCCGAUACUGACGCUGAGGUGCGAAAGCGUGGGGAGCAAACAGG